rnacentral:other from 1 species
GGAACCCUGCUGUGUUCGUAGUCAAGCUGAUCUUGUUAUGAGCCAACACUCUUUACUAGGGAGCCUGGAGUUUUGUAGUGGCCGCAAAACCUUUUAAUGGAUUUGCCUAAGCUAUGAACAGGGCACCCACCUGCCUUGGCAGGUUCAUCAACACUCAGCACCAACGGCACGGCGGGGAUCUG